GUUCAAAGGUAUUGUUCCUCCAAAAGGUUGUGAUGAGUUCAUGUACAGUGGACAGAAAGGCUUGCAGAGGUUCUUUGUUCUUGCCCUACUGUGUGUGCCUUGGAUACUUCUUGCAAAACCCAAUGUUUCGAUAAUGACCGCAAAGCCCACCAACUGACAAUCUUCUGACUUUCCCCAACUUUCAAGCCAUCCCGUACCUGCAGAGAAUGGCAUGGAUGCGGAGGUGGGAUCGAUGUCAGGGACAGCACACUAAGGACAGU